rnacentral:rRNA from 1 species
UAUGUGAUCGUCUCUCGCAUAUCAAUAAGCGGAGGAAAAGAAACUAACAAGGAUUCCCCUAGUAACGGCGAGCUGAAGCGGGAAGAGCUCAAAUUUGAAAUCUUAAAGGGUUUCCCUUUACGAAUUGUAGUUUAAAGAAGUGUUUUCUGUUGAGGUUUUGGUAAAAGUUCUUUGGAAUAGGACAUCAUAGAGGGUGAGAAUCCCGUAUUUGACCUUUACUUUCAACUUUGUGAUACACUUUCAAAGAGUCGGAUUGUUUGGGAAUGCAGUCCAAAAUGGGUGGUAAAUUUCAUCUAAAGCUAAAUAUUGGCGAGAGACCGAUAGCGAACAAGUACCGUGAGGGAAAGAUGAAAGAACUUUGAAAAGAGAGUUAAACAGUACGUGAAAUUGUCAAAAGGGAAGCGUUUGACACCAGUGUUGUUUUUCUGAAAAUCAAUUAAAGAACUGUUUAUGCUAAGUUGUUUAGACUUUAUCAGCUAACUGUUUAGUUUUGAGCUUUUCUUUAAUGCACUUUUCAGUUAACAAGUCAACAUCAAUUUCUUUUGCUGUAAAAAAGCUUGAGGAAGGUGGCUUGAGAUUCGUCUUAAGUGUUUAUAGCCUCUUGCCUAUGCAGUCGGAGAGAUUGAGGUCUGCAGCGUAGAUCCUUCGGGGCUAAAUGCAUUUGUGCUAAGUUAUAGCAUUUUAUAGACAACUUGUUGACUAUGAUUUGUCUUGUAGCUUACUCGCUUAUGUUAUUUUACCUACGCUUAGGAUGUUGACACACGCGCGUGCUCG